UACGUAGGGUCCGAGCGUUGUCCGGAAUUAUUGGGCGUAAAGAGCUCGUAGGCGGUUUGUCGCGUCUGCUGUGAAAACCCGAGGCUCAACCUCGGGCCUGCAGUGGGUACGGGCAGACUAGAGUGAUGUAGGGGAGACUGGAAUUCCUGGUGUAGCGGUGAAAUGCGCAGAUAUCAGGAGGAACACCGAUGGCGAAGGCAGGUCUCUGGGCAUUAACUGACGCUGAGGAGCGAAAGCAUGGGGAGCGAACAGG
rnacentral:rRNA from 1 species